GACGAACGCUGGCGGCGUGCCUAACACAUGCAAGUCGAACGAGUCCAAUCCUUCGGGAUUGAGGCGAGUGGCGGACGGGUGAGUAACACGUGAGCAAUCUAUCCUGUUGCGGGGACAACGAGGGAAACCUUCGCUAAUACCGCAUGGUCGAGAGAAGCGAUGCUUCUUCCGGGAAACGUGGCCUCUUUACAAUGCUACGGCGGCAGGCGGAGCUCGCGGGCUAUCAGCUGGUUGGUGAGGUAACGGCUCACCAAGGCGACGACGGCUACGGGGUCUGAGAGGACGACCCCGCACAUUGGAACUGAGACACGGUCCAGACUCCUACGGGAGGCAGCAGUGGGGAAUAUUGGGCAAUGGCCGAAAGGCUGACCCGAGCGACGCCGCGUGUGGAGGAAGCCUCGGGUGUAAACCACUGUCAGAGGGGACGAAAGAUUUCACGGUGAAUAAUCGU
rnacentral:rRNA from 1 species